AACUUCUCACUGCGUCGGCCGCAUAUGCGGGCCGCGCGGGGGGCGCCGACUG
rnacentral:sRNA from 1 species